AAUCAACGCUGGCGGCGUGCCUCAGACAUGCAAGUCGAACGCGAAAGGCCCCUUCGGGGGCCGAGUAGAGUGGCGUCCGGGUGAGUAACACGUGGGUAAUCUACCUUCGGGUGGGGAAUAACGACCGGAAACGGUCGCUAAUACCGCAUAAUGCAGCGGCACCUAAUGGUGACAGUUGUUAAAGCGGGGGGAUCGCAAGACCUCGCGCCUGAAGAGGAGCCCGCGGCGGAUUAGCUAGUGGUGGGGUAAAGCCUACCAAGGCGACGAUCCUUAGCUGGUCUGAGAGGAUGAUCAGCCACACUGGGACUGAGACACGGCCCAGACUCCUACGGGAGGCAGCAGUGGGGAAUAUUGGACAAUGGGCGAAAGCCUGAUCCAGCAAUGCCGCGUGAGUGAUGAA
rnacentral:rRNA from 1 species